CUUACGAGCCCCUAACCAACAAUGCAGUUUAAACAAAUGAGGAUAAGAAUAAGAAAUAAAAGUAACAAGUAAUUAAAAAGCAGUGAUAAAAUACAGAGUCAAUGUGGAGGCUAUAUACAGGACCGGUACAGAGUCAAUGUGGAGGCUAUAUACAGGGGGUACCGGUACAGAGUCAAUGUGGAGGCUAUAUACAGGGGGUACCGGUACAGAGUCAAUGUGGAGACUAUAUACAGGGGGUACCGGUACAGAGUCAAGGUGGAGACUAUAUACAGGGGGUACCGGUACAGAGUCAAUGUGGAGACUAUAUACAGGGGGUAUCGGUACAGAGUCAAUGUGGAGGCUAUAUACAGGGGGUACCGGUACAGAGUCAAUGUGGAGGCUAUAUACAGGGGGUACCGGUACAGAGUCAAUGUGGAGACUAUAUACAGGGGG
ensembl:lncRNA